UGUGGGAGCUGGACGCGGACAUUGAGCGGUCGUCACGUGCAGAGCCCUCUCCCCCUGAGUGUCCAGCUGGUCGUCUGUACGUUCCGUCUGCUGUCCGCGACCGAUUGAUCUAUUGGGCUCACACGUCACCCUCCUCUGGUCAUCCUGGGAUAGGUCGGACAAUGCGCUGUCUUGAAAGGAGGUACUGGUGGCCCACUUUAGCUAAGGACGUGAGGAUUUUUGUUUCUUCCUGAUCGGUGUGCGCCCAGUGCAAGGCUCCUAGACACCUGCCCAGAGGGUUACACCACGAUCCUGGUCGAUGUGGAUCGGUUUUCAAAGUCCUGUCGUCUCAUCCCUUUGCCCGGUCUCCCUACGGCCUUAAGAACUGCAGAGGCCCUGUUUACACACGUUUUCCCGGCACUAUGGGGUGCCUGAGGAUAUAAUGUCUGAUCGGGGUCCCCAGUUCACAUCAAGGGUCUGGAAGGCAUUUACGCUUACCAUGCUGCACCUUGGUCUCAUUCCAAUAACGGACGAAACAGAAUGAAAGACAUUUUUGAGAUCCAGUUAGUUGUUUGCACUUCAUAUAUUUGAAUUUGUAACACAAUAAAAGUGAAGUUUAUUAUUUUUUAAA